UACGUAGGGUGCGAGCGUUGUCCGGAUUUAUUGGGCGUAAAGAGCUCGUAGGCGGUUCGAUAAGUCUGACGUGAAAUCUCCACGCUCAACGUGGAGGGGCCGUUCGAUACUGUCGUGACUCGAGUCCGGUAGGGGAGUGUGGAAUUCCCGGUGUAGCGGUGAAAUGCGCAGAGAUCGGGAGGAACACCCGUAGCGAAGGCGGCACUCUGGGCCGGUACUGACGCUGAGGAGCGAAAGCCAGGGGAGCGAACGGG
rnacentral:rRNA from 1 species